GAUGUGCUGGAGGAUGAUAAAUUGAGUGAUCCAUCGUCUGACAGACCAUGAUGAUGCCAUUUACUCUCUGACAGCAUUUG